GAAUUCGCCCUUAGAGUUUGAUCCUGGCUCAGAUUGAACGCUGGCGGAAUGCUUUACACAUGCAAGUCGAACGGCAGCAUAGAGAGCUUGCUCUCUGAUGGCGAGUGGCGAACGGGUGAGUAAUAUAUCGGAACGUGCCUAGUAAUGGGGAAUAACUAGCUGAAAGGUUAGCUAAUGCCGCAUACGACCUACGGGUGAAAGCAGGGGAUCUUCGGACCUUGCGUUAUUAGAGCGGCCGAUAUCUGAUUAGCUUGUUGGUGGGGUAAUGGCCUACCAAGGCGACGAUCAGUAGCUGGUCUGAGAGGACGAUCAGCCACACUGGAACUGGGACACGGUCCAGACUCCUACGGGAGGCAGCAGUGGGGAAUUUUGGACAAUGGGGGCAACCCUGAUCCAGCCAUUCCGCGUGAGUGAAGAAGGCCUUCGGGUUGUAAAGCUCUUUCGCAAGAGAAGAAAACUUGCUAUCUAAUAAAUAGUAAGCAUGACGGUAUCUUGACAAGAAGCACCGGCUAACUACGUGCCAGCAGCCGCGGUAAUAAGGGCG
rnacentral:rRNA from 1 species